rnacentral:rRNA from 1 species
AUGAUUCUUCUCAGUUGGAACUGCCGGGGUGGAGGGAAUACCCGGACAGUUCGUGAACUAGCGACGUUAUGUUAGUCGCAUUCCCCCACGUUAGUCUUCUUAUGUGAAACGAGACAGAAAGAAGAGAAGAAGAGAAUAAGGGGUCGUCUAGGCCUCAAUGGUAUUUGUGGUGUUGAUAGUAGUGGCAUGAGUGGUGGUCUCGCACUUUUCUGGCAUGAGUCCUAUGAGGUGGACAUUAUAGAUAAAAACAAAUGA